rnacentral:rRNA from 1 species
UACAGAGGGUGCAAGCGUUAAUCGGAAUUACUGGGCGUAAAGCGCGCGUAGGUGGUUUGUUAAGUUGGAUGUGAAAUCCCCGGGCUCAACCUGGGAACUGCAUUCAAAACUGACUGACUAGAGUAUGGUAGAGGGUGGUGGAAUUUCCUGUGUAGCGGUGAAAUGCGUAGAUAUCAAGAGGAAUACCGGUGGCGAAGGCGACCACCUGGACUAAUACUGACACUGAGGUGCGAAAGCGUGGGGAGCAAACAGG